rnacentral:tRNA from 1 species
GCCGCCGUAGCUCAGCGGUAGAGCGGCCGGCUUGUAACCGGCAGGUCGCGGGUUCAAAUCCCGCCGGCGGCU